CUUCGCUGUGGUUGCUAUGGUAACUGGCUGACUGGGAAGUAUAGAAACAGGAUUCAGAUGCUGGAAUGCAUGCUAUUAACGAAGUCGGCGUAAUGGAGGAGGUUUGCCCUGCUUGCCAGUAAAGAGUGUGGGAGGAGUGUGAGGGAACCGUAGGUGGGCAUUGUAAGUAAUACCUACUUCUGUAAGGAGAUCGUGGCGGGUCAGGUAAGUGCCUGACAGUUCCCCUUUAAGUGCUGUCCAGG